UGGGGAAUAUUGCACAAUGGGCGCAAGCCUGAUGCAGCCAUGCCGCGUGUGUGAAGAAGGCCUUCGGGUUGUAAAGCACUUUCAGCGAGGAGGAAGGUGGUGAACUUAAUACGUUCAUCAAUUGACGUUACUCGCAGAAGAAGCACCGGCUAACUCCGUGCCAGCAGCCGCGGUAAUACGGAGGGUGCAAGCGUUAAUCGGAAUUACUGGGCGUAAAGCGCACGCAGGCGGUUUGUUAUGUCAGAUGUGAAAUCCCCGGGCUCAACCUGGGAACUGCAUUUGAAACUGGCAAGCUAGAGUCUCGUAGAGGGGGGUAGAAUUCCAGGUGUAGCGGUGAAAUGCGUAGAGAUCUGGAGGAAUACCGGUGGCGAAGGCGGCCCCCUGGANGAAGACUGACGCUCAGGUGCGAAAAGGCGUGGGGGAGCAAAACAGGAUUAGAUACCCUGGUAGUCCACGCUGUAAAACGAUGUCGAUUUUGGAGGUUGUG
rnacentral:rRNA from 1 species